rnacentral:lncRNA from 1 species
GGGUAGAGAUUGAAGAGGAGGAUAAAAUUCUAUUGCUGUCAUGUUUGCUACCCGAGAGCUUCAAUCUGUUGGUUACGAUGCUGUACGGUAGGAGACAUUAAUGUAUGAGGAGAUCGUGUCAGUGCUCAGAUCCAAUGAGCAGCAAGAAUGGAUGAUGAAGAACGAGAUUUUUCAGGAGGAUUUUACUUUUUCAGAUAGACCCAGG